CCAGAGGGUUGGGCAACCGCGUCGGGGCAUUCGCACCCGCCGAGGAAAGUCCGGGCUCCACGAAACAAGGGUGGCGGGUAACGCCCGCCGGCCCCGCAAGGGGCAAGGGAAAGUGCCACAGAGAGCAAACCGCCAAAGAGGCUUCAUGCCUCACGGUAAGGGUGAAAGGGUGCGGUAAGAGCGCACCGCGCGACCGGCAACGGAAGCGGCAUGGUAAACCCCACCCGGAGCAAAACCGAAUAGGGGCGCCGCGCCGAUUUAUCGGCAGGUCUGUUUCGGACCGAGGACGCCCGGGUUGGUUGCUGGAGCGCACGCAGCAAUGCGUCGCCAAGAUGAAUGGUUGCCCUUUGCGGCUGCGUCCUUCGGGAUACGGGCCGCAUUGACAGAACCCGGCUUACAGACCCUCUGGCGUA
rnacentral:RNase_P_RNA from 1 species